GUGCUCUCUUUGGCAGCAUAUAUACUAAAACUGGAAUGAUACCAAGAAGAUUAGCAUGGCCUCCGGGCAAGGAUGAUGCAAAUUUGUGAAGCUUUCCAUAAUAAA
rnacentral:snRNA from 1 species